rnacentral:lncRNA from 1 species
GUGGCAGGAACAGGUUGUUUUGCUUUUGGUGAUUGGCGGCCAUCGAGCCAUGGAGUCCUUUGGAAAGAUUGGUGGAACCAAGGGUGGAAGAUGUGGUUGCCGCAGAGGAGGAUGAUGAGGAAGAAGACGAUACGGCUACACGCUCACAUUGAGGACACAUCGUCAAAGUGGUUGGAGGGUUCAUGUUCAUGUAAAACUGUGGAGAAAGUUUAAGGGCUCUCAGCUCGUUCACCUCCUUUUGCAGCCGUCUGUUUUCCUCCGUCAAUGUAUCACAACAACGUUUUAGGAGGACUGAUAAUGAACGGAAGCUUCUGAUGAGUCGAAACAUCCCGUUGAACAAACGAAAAAGGAGGAGAAUGCAACAGAUUCAACGGAAAUCGGGUCGAACCGUUGGAUCCGGCGGCCAUUUGCGGUGGCGGAGGCGGUGCUGGAUGAUUUUUCGAGCAUUUUAAACUCAAACUCAAGCCUAAACCGUCGUCCAUCCGGUGGUUUCUGUUGCUAGAAACUGUUUCUCUCUCUAGAACAAUGGUUGAUGAGAAAUUGCAGAGGGACAAAAUAGAGUGAUGCUUAUUGGAUUUUGGUUUUUUCACUGAGUUUUUAUUCAAAGUUUGGUGUUACAGAGAAAAUACCAAGACCUAUGUGUCUACAUAUAUGUACGUACAAAAGGUAUAUCUAUAUGAAGAGAGAGAGAGAGAGCAGGUGGUGAUAU